GACGAACGCUGGCGGCGUGCUUAACACAUGCAAGUCGAACGGAAAGGCCCUGCUUUUGUGGGGUGCUCGAUUGGCGAACGGGUGAGUAACACGCGAGUAUCCUCCCCUUGACUUUGGGAUAACUUCACGAAACUGGGGCUCAUACCGCAUAUGAUCUCCUGCUGCAUGUUGGGGGUUGGAAAGUUUCGGCGGUUGUGGAUCGACUCGCGGCUUAUCAGCUUCUUGGUGUGGUAGUGGCUUACCAAGGCUUUGACGGGUAGCCGGCCUGAGAGGGUGAACGGCCACAUGGGGACUGAGAUACGGCCCAGACGCGUACGGGAGGCAGCAGUGGGGAAUAUUGCACAAUGGGCGGAAGCCUGAUGCAGCAACGCCGCGUGCGGGAUGACGGCCUUCGGGUGGUAAACCGAUGUCGCCUGUGACGAAGCGUGAGUGACGGUAAUGGGUAAAGAAGCACCGGCUAACUACGUG
rnacentral:rRNA from 1 species